GUGUGUGUGGUGUGUUGAUAAAGGCUGGGAAAACAAGGGGAAACCCUUAUUCAUCAUAAAAUCACCAAAUCGAAGGAAGAUUCGAGUCUCAAAUUCGUGCAUGAACAUAAAUUCGUGAUCAUCUAAGCUUGGAAAUCAUGAGGUAUGUCAUAAUUUAUGUUUUGGUGAUGAUGAGUAUGUGGAUGAACUUGAAAGUGAUAACCUUGAGUUCAACAUUUUGUUAAUAUGGUGAAAUCGAUAAUGAAAUUAUAUUUGUAAUCAUCAUACUUACAAGUAUAUGUGAAAUACUUGAACAAUUUUGUGAUUUGAAUAAGUGUUCAUGUAUGACAUGAAGUGGGUUUUUGAUUAAAUGAUGAAAUUGAUGAUAUAUGAGUGUUCAUGAUCAUCCUAUUUGUAUGUAUGUGUAAGAUACUUGAACAAAAUAGAGAUUCGAGUAAGUGUUCAUACAUGACUUGAAAUGGGUUUUUGUAUGAUAUGAUAAAUUGAUAUUAUGUUAAUGUUAAUAAGUGUUUGAGGUCAUGUUGUCUACUAGUUUGUAUGUAGAACUUGAUUAUAUUAGGUAUUCAAAUGAAUGCCUAGUAGUAUAAGGAAAUGGGCUUUACAUAUAGAUGAAAACCCUUAGUUCUAGCAUGAAGAAUGGAUAAAUUGGCAUUGAUAAUCGAAAGCUAAGUUAACUUGAUGUUAUUAAUCGCUCAAACUUGUUAAAGUGAAAGAAAUGAGAUUAACUUGGUUGGGAUUUUAGUUAAAAGGGUAGCUUAGAAAUAACGCCUACUGAAUAUUAGAUGAAACGCCUAAGUGAGUUCGUUGAACCUAUUAGGGCAUAUGCAUAUGUCAAUAGGCAGUCGACUUUUUGAAAGUCAAACUGACCUAUAAUAAGAUUGAAUGACAAUUUUGAUAUAAAAUUCGUAAGAUGGAAUAGUCGUGAUAAAUGAUGACUAAUCUAACCAUCUUGUAAAUGAGAGAUGAUAGUUUGAUACUUGACAAGCUAGGUGGGGCUUGGGGAAGAAACGGGUCAAACGACUCAAGAACGAGGGAAAAAGCAUAAUUAGAUGCAAGGUAAGUGAAACUUACAUCUUUAAAAUAGAACAUCUAUUUAUAUAUUUGACUAAGAAUAAGCGCUUUGGUAUUCGGAAUGAGAUUUAGAAAUAUGACGUCCCGACACGAAUCGACACGGGUCGGAACAAGUGAAAAUGGUAAUAAACCAUAUUGAAUGGUAAAAAGGGUAAAAUGGGUAAAAUGGUAAUUUAGUCAUGUCAUGAAGAAUAAACAAGGAGUUUUGAAAAGUUGCCUUAUGGUGUAUAAUAGGUAAAAAGGGUAAAAUAGUAAUUCGGUCACGAGUUGACAAAUAAAUAUUGAGUUUCAAAAAAUACGCCCUAUGGUGUAAGCCAUAAUGGGUCAAAAGAAUUAAGAAACGACUUUAAGUAGUAUGAUCAUAUGGUGUAAACCGAAACUGACUAAAUGGUGAGAUGGUAAAUAAAUACCAUCUCAUAAUGGUAAAAUGGUCAUUUAGGCCAAAUAGGUCAAACUAUCAUCAUUUGAAAAUAAUGACUAAUGGUCGCUUGUCGAGUUUUGUGCCCACAGGAAGGAUAGCGUAUGACUUGCAUUGCUAUUAAUUAGCAAUUAAUAGUUUAACGUAUUAAAACGGGUCAAUGCUAAGACCUGAGCCAGGUACGUGUUAUGGGUCAAACUCUCAAUGAGUACUUAAAGGUCCGACGAGAGUUAAUCGAGUCAUGGGUGGGCUUUGGAUUACCUAAAGUGAGGUAUAUCUAAUCAUUUGAAAAUUUGGGAACAUCAUGUCCUUAGGAAUUCAACGAUUUGAAUAGAACAACGGUUUAAGGUAUUCAUUUGGUCAAAUUAUGCGUCUAAAAGUCCUUCGUGGUAAAAAGGAUUAGGUUGACCAAAACGCCCUCCAAUGAAAAACCCGGAAAACGACCCCUUGAGGGUAGUUUAAAUAUAAAUUCUAUAAUUCGUUCAACCCUUACGAUAGUAUAAAAUGGAAGGUUUAAACCAUUUUGGCUUAAAACUAAAUAUUGGAUCAUUUUCGUAGAAUGUCUAACUUGGGAUAGAAUGGGAAUAUAACGAUUUUUCCCAUUCACGAUCCAUCACAUUUGAAGUUGUGAUAUAUAAAUGAAAAUGAGAAAUGGGAGCGUGAACUAAAUAAUCGGACUAGGUUACGGAGUCAUGAUUGAAAGGUUUGGAAUUUUUAAAAAGAAAUCGUAUUAAACAUGCGAACAAGUCAAUUAGCAUAACCGUGAACCGAUAGCGGACACAUAAAACACAAGAAUAAUACCCCGGGUUAUGGGGUAUAGUCAUAAAAAUAAUGAUCUUGUAAAACGAUGUAAUAUUUGUGAGACCGUUUGCUUAAUCAUGCAAACAAGUCAAUUAUUUACAAUAAAUAUAUUGGAACCAAUGGUGUAAAACAAAUUUGGUGAAUCCGGAUAAUGGGUUCACAAGUUAGGAAUGUGGGAAAUUGUUUUACGAAUGCGUAGGAAAAAGUUUCGUGCGAAACGGAUAAGAAUUGAUCAAGUUACGGAAGUUUUCGUAACAAAAACGACAAAAAUGGAAAAGCUGCAGAGCAGCCAACCAUAAGCUACGGUUGCCAAUUGUAGCCUACGGCUGGCAGCUGCUGCCAAACACAGAAUGUGUGACCCGUAAGCUACGGCCCACAACCGUAGCCUACGACGUGUUUCUUCCAAAAUGGAUUUUGUUUGUUUGUUUGAUAUUUUAGGUUAUAAAACCAUUUCUAAGCUCCAUAUAACUAACAUGUGAGUUGUUAUUGGUGUAUAGGUGAUAGCUAGGACCUUAUGGAUGAUGAUCAAGCAUUGUGGUUAAACCGAAAACACAACCGAAGUUCAAGCUUCCGCUUAGUUUCGUUAUUUUACGAACUGAAUCAAUUAUGAACUUUAUAAAGGUCACAUUGAAUUCAAUCAGAUACGUCGAAAUGUGAUGGUUAACGCAUCACAUAACAUUUGGACUAAUCCAUUCAACAUUUACGAUAAACCGGUACCACAACACGCGCGGGUCUUAUUGCUAGUUGUAUAAAAUAAUGUAACAUCCCAUUUCAGGAUUUACAUUAGACUGGAAAAUGGGAGUUGUAGUUUAGGACCAAGAUGUAAAGGACCAAACUAUAAGGAUUAAUUGUGUAAUUUAACCACUUUGGUUAUAUUUUUUUUU
rnacentral:lncRNA from 1 species